rnacentral:misc_RNA from 1 species
CAAUUUUCGUGUCCCCUUCGUCUAGAGGCCCAGGACACCGCCCUUUCACGGCGGUAACAGGGGUUCGAAUCCCCUAGGGGACGCCACUUGCUGGUUUGUGAGUGAAAGUCGCCGACCUCAAUAUCUCAAAACAGACUGUUAAGUCUUGUUUGAUAUAUUUGCUCUUUAAAAAUCUGGAUCAAGCUGAAAAUUGAAACACUGAACAAUGAAAGUUGUUCGUGAGUCUCUCAAAUUUUCGCAACUCUGAAGUGAAACAUCUUCGGGUUGUGAGGUUAAGCGACUAAGCGUACACGGUGGAUGCCCUGGCAGUCAGAGGCGAUGAAGGACGUGCUAAUCUGCGAUAAGCGUCGGUAAGGUGAUAUGAACCGUUAUAACCGGCGAUUUCCGAAUGGGGAAACCCAGUGUGUUUCGACACACUAUCAUUAAC